AUCAAACAUCUGAAGGAUUGCUUUGGAUGGACGCAAGGAGGUGGAGUGAGGAUCAGCGGGUAGAAGGCAAGGGCGGCUGAAUUCUGCUGGAGGAAAGGCAGGCUUGGCGCCGUCGGAACUGAAAGCGGAUCGCCCACACUUUGAGGUUUUCUCACUUUCGAUGGCAAAUGAAUCCAGGAGUGACAAGCUUAAACCCGUCCUUAGUCACUUUGGACUUAGGAACGAUGGACUUCACAAACAGCCACAGCAUCCCUGCGGAGAAGGAAGCUCUUCCACCCCAGCUGGGCCCGAAGCCACACAUUAUAGUAUGAAUGGAUGAAAAUGAUCAUCGAGCCCAUUACUGUCCAUUCUCCAAAGAUGGUCUCUGAGACACCAUAGGCC